GGAGCCGCCCCGCCCAGGUGCUGCCCGGGCAGGCAGGAGGCAGGAGCGCGGGCGGGGCGGGGGCGGGCGCGUGAAUCAGGCCGGGCGGGCGCGCCGGGGAGUGGCUGCCGGACCGACCGGACCGCGAGGCCGCUGGGCGGCGGUCGGCUCCUGCUGCCCCUGUGCCGAGACCCCGCGCACCUGGCCAGGUAGGACCCCCUCCCGGGCCGGAGCGGGCGGGCGCGGAGCGCCGAAGAGUUCGGGGCUCUGCGCGCCCUCACCUGGGCUGGCGCAGUGUGCGCGGCCGCGUGCGUGGGGCUGGCCGGGCCUGGCCUGCGGGGCCCGGCGGGGGACGAAGGGCCGGGACGCUGUAGGUUUCUGGGUGAGACGCCCCCUACGACGCCGGCCCAGGAGGAGCCCAGAGCGAAAGGGUCCGGGCCCCUGCUAGAGACCCGGCGUCUGACCGGCUCCUGCCUUCGCGGCCCGUACUCUUCCUGGGAGCCGUCCUCCAAGGCUGCCAUGGACUGGGGUGGUGUACUGGGCAGGUAGAGCGGGAGGCCUGUGCCGCUUGAGCCCAUGUACCUGGACUGGAGUGAGCAGAUGAGGCACCUGGCCUGGACAGCCGCUAACUUGCUUCCUGGGGUACGUGACACCCUUAGGUCCUGCUGUGCCCACUCCGCAAGCUAUAACUCAUGGACUUCCGGUCUGUGAGCCCAUCCAGCCAAGGUCCACCUCCCGGCUUCCUGAUCCUGCCCCUUCCCUUGCCUCAGUCUUUGACCACUGGUUAUCUCACUUUGUGUAGGAGCCCAGAUCCUUCCCAGGGAAUCUCUCUUCCUGCCCAGGUAGGAAGGAUCGGGUCCUUGAAGUGGAGGUGAGGGCCUUUAAGGCUCUUUCAGGCUUCAGGUCAGAGGUCAGCCGCAGAGGAUUCCUGCUGAGUCAUUGGUCUGGGUGGGCUAGGCCCCUUCCUCCCUCGGGGCCCAGGUGGGUAGGUAAAUGGGGAGAAGCAGGCUGAUGGGGCUUCACUGAGGAAUGGGGAGUGGCCAUUUCCCAGUCCACAGUCCAGGGGGAUUCUUGCCCUUUAAAGAAACAGGCCAGGGGUAAGGUGAUUGGAGGUGGUAAGCAUUGCUGUGAGGCCCACCUCCCGCGGGUGGGGGAUGGCCAGGCAGGAUGGGGACUCCCCUUCAAACCAGUAGUGCCUGUGGGAAGGCUCCUCACCAGAGGUCACAAACUGGACACUUGUCCUCCCCACUCCCGAUGAAUCUGUUCCCUUCCCCAGUGAAAUCUGAAGGAACAGCAGUGGCCCUUCCAGCGUGUCUUCCCCACGCCUCCCCAAAUAGCAGGCCGGUGCCUCUAGGCCUGUCCAGUCAGACACUGCCCACAUACAGCCUGACCAGAUAGUGGUAAAUUGUUGGUCCUGCCACAAUGGUCAGAUGCAGUGAGGCCCGUCCAGGCAGACAGGCCAACACUCAACUCACAGGUGGGCUGCCAGGCCUGCUGCUGCACCACAGGACUGCGCCCCACCCCGCACAUCAAGCAUGAAGGGAGACUGUGUGGUCAGGGCAGUGCCCCAAGAAGGAAGAACAGUUUUUCCUGGGACAAGUGGGCCAGGUGGCAUUCCCCGGCAGUUAUAGGAGUGUCCCCACCUCAGCUCUGUGUCACAUUCUGUCUUAGAAUGUCACCCCCAGGAACACCAGGUGGCACAGGUCCCAGGGUAUGCAUAGCAGAGCCUGACCCCAACAUUCUCAGGCAGGUAUGGCUUCCAACCCAGUGUAGGCCAGGGCCCCAUCCUGUCAGCACUCCUGGCCACACCUUGGGGUACACUCUUCCCCCUAGGCAGAGCCACUUCCCCAUCUGGGACUGGCAUCCAGUAACCUGUGUGCUAAGCAGAGCAGGAGUCUGCCCCAUCCCCGAACAGGAGCAGUGGGGACAGGGUGAGCGGUUCUGGGUGCUCCCACAGGCCUAGAGGCCACAGUCUCUAAGUAUGUUCAGUGGUCAUGCUGGUCAGCAUCCUAGAGGCCAGCCACCAAGCGGGGAGAUGUGAAGGGCAUGAAACUGAGCCAUGGAAAAGGCUGAUACCAUUCUUAGUCUCUUAGUGAGCAGGAGGAAGACAGUGACCUAAGGAAUUGGAAAGGUCCCAACUGCCAUGGGGCUGGGCUAGGCAAGGACAGGCCCUAUAGCAAAGGGCUGUGGUCCAGGGAGGUUUCAUCCAAGAUGAGACAGUGGCAACAGGUGGGGGUGCUGGCAAGCAGGAACCAAUCCCAGGGGUCAGCACUGGGAGGUCAGUGAAAGGGUGGUGGGAGUCCUGGUGAAACCCUAAGGAUGGGAAGAGGUGUGGCCCUGGGCAGUGGGUGGGGCCUAGGGCUAUGCCAUCCCAGGAUGAAGUCACAGCCUGGUAUGUCCCGUCAACCCUCCUGGCUGUGCUGUAUGGUGGAGGUGAUGGCUGGAGAGGCACAGCGGCUAGUCCGGGGUCUCCCAGGCAGCAGGCACAGCACUGCCUCGACCAGUGGGCACGGUGCUAGGGACCACAGCAAUAUGAAGGGGCUGUUGAUAGUGAGUCCAGCGAGGGUUGUGUUUGUCUUUGAACCAGCCAUCAAACUGUUAGAAUCUGUUUUUAUGGGAAAGGGCUCAUGAGAGCAGGACCCCUAUCAAUAAGGGCAGAAGAAGGGGAACAGGGCUGGGAUUCCUGUGACAUGCCUGGCACUUCUGAUGUCCUUCCAACUAGGGGGCAUCCUAGGCCUGGGGAGGCCUCCAGGUAUGGGCUGAACUCCAGUCCACUGAAGUCUCUGGAAACCCUGUGUGAGGGUAAAGGAGCAGGCCCCAGUGCCCCUGCCCCUCAUUAAGGUAUCUCCUCUCCAGGCCCCUGGCCCCAACAUGGCUCGCCGCUCUCAGAGUUCCUCGCAGGGGGAUAACCCACUGGCGCCUGGGUACCUGCCACCUCACUACAAAGAGUACUACCGCUUGGCGGUGGAUGCGUUGGCAGAGGGUGGACCAGAAGCCUAUAACCGCUUCCUGGCUACAGAGGGGGCACCCGACUUCCUGUGUCCUGAGGAGCUAGAGCAUGUGAACCGCCACCUACAGCCCCCACAGCAUGCUGCCCGGGAGCCCCCUGAAGGCAGCCCUCCUGAUGUGGACAUGGAUGGCUCCUCAGGCACAUACUGGCCAGUGAACUCAGACCAGGCAGUUCCUGAGCUUGACCUGGGCUGGCCCCUGACCUUCGGCUUCCAGGGCACUGAAGUCACCACGCUAGUGCAGCCGCCGCCACCUGAUAGCCCCAGCAUCAAGGAUGAGGCUCGAAGGAUGAUCCGCUCUGCCCAGCAGGUGCACGGUCGCAGGCUCUGUGGGCAGUGGGGGAGGGUGGCCUGGGCUGGACCUGGAAGUAUGAGGAGGAGGGAGAGGGGGUGGAGAAACAACCAGCACCAGCACGGAGGCAAGCCAGGACUGCCAGCUGGGCCUUCCAGGCUUCAAGCUGCAGCAGGGGCUUCCUGGCAGGUUCUUCCAGGUCACUGAGGGUUGGGCCAAGACAGGGUCUGCACAGGGUGGCUGGUGGUUGAUGUCCAGAUGCCCAGAGGCUCUGGGAUGUUGGUUCUCUCCUAGCAUGGAUUUGUCCCAAGAAUUUUCUAGACUUGCCUGAUGGGCUUUGGCCAGCUCAAAGCUUCCUCCCCUCCCAAGCAGAUGGUGAACAGCAGAGAUGGCCUGUUAAACCAGGGUCAGCUGCUAAAGACCCCUGUUCUCCUCCCAUCCCAGGGCAGUGCCCCCUUCCUGAGAACAGACCUGGAGCCUGGGCCUCAGCCCUGACAUCCAGUCUGGGGUUAGCACGGAAGAGAUUGCAGGGGCUCCCCUUGACCCAAGCAGGAUGCAGGCCUUGUCCCUGCCUCUGCUCCCAUGUGGGCCACCCACUCUACUAGCAGCCCCAUGACCCCUGUCAGGUCCCUUCCUCCUGACCACCUUCCCAGACAUGGCUGCUAGGGAAUGGGGUUCACAUGGUUCAUAGCUCUCCCUUCUCCUGGGUAGGUUGAAGAAUGGGGUGGGGACAACAGAUUCCACCCUCCCUCCUGACUUGGUGCUUGCAGGUGGUGGCCGUGGUGAUGGACAUGUUCACUGAUGUGGACUUGCUCAGCGAAGUGCUGGAGGCUGCUGCACGCAGGGUCCCCGUCUAUAUCCUGCUGGAUGACAUGAAUGCACAACACUUUCUGGACAUGGCGGAAAAAUGCCGAGUCAACCUGCACCACGUGGAUGUGAGUGAGUGGACAGGUGGGGUGGACCGGGAAAGACCCUGGCGAAGACCUGACUCCCCUCCCUCCUCAGUUCCUGCGUGUGCGCACUGUGGCUGGCCCCACCUAUUAUUGCCGCACUGGGAAGUCUUUCAAGGGCCACGUGAAAGAGAAGUUCCUGCUUGUAGACUGUGCCGUGGUGAUGAGCGGGAGCUACAGGUGUGCGGUGUGCCCAGCUGGGUGUCGGUCCCUACCCCUCCCCUCUCUGGAGCCUCCCUGGGUGUCCCCGCCCCUCCUCACCAGGAGCACUCCUGUAGACCCUGAUAGCCUGGCCUGGCCCAGGUCCUAACACACCCUGGGACUCUGUGUGUCCCACCCAGCGCUGCAGGCCAGUGCUCCCUCACUCCGUUCUUGACUCUGACCCCCACCCACUCACCCACAGCUUCAUGUGGUCCUUCGAGAAGAUCCACCGCAGCCUGGCACACGUGUUCCAGGGAGAGCUGGUCUCCAGCUUCGACGAAGAGUUCCGCAUCCUCUUCGCACAGUCUGAGCCCUUGGUGCCCUCAGCUGGGGCGCUGGCCCGCGUGGACACUUAUGCCUUGGCUCCAUACUCCGGGGCGGGGCCCCUGGUGGGCAUCCCUGGGGCGCCCACCCCUUUCUCCUUCCCUAAACGGGCACACCUGCUGUUCCCUCCGCCCCGCGAAGAAGGCCUGGGUUUCCCCUCCUUCCUGGACCCAGAUCGCCACUUCCUUUCGGCCUUCCGCAGGGAGGAGCUGCCCCGGGUGCCCGGGGGCGCUCUGGAGCCGCAUGCAGGGAUGCGGCCACUGUCGCGACGGCUGGACACGGAAGUAGGGCCCAGCGGGGAGUUCGGGGGCCCACGGGGCUUCCUCCAGGCGCGGCACCUGGAGAUGGACGCCUUCAAGCGGCACAGCUACGCCGCGGCCGACGGCGCAGGCGCUGUGGAGAACUUCGCGGCUGCGCGGCAGGUGUCCCGACAGACGUUCCUCAGCCACGGGGACGACUUCCGCUUCCAGACCAGCCACUUCCACCGGGACCAACUCUACCAGCAGCAUUACCAGUGGGAGCCACAGUUCGCACCCACACGUCCGCAGGGCCUGUUCGAGAAGCUUCGCGCCGGCCGCCCGGGCUUGGCUGACCCCGACGACUUGGCGCUGGGCGCUGGGCCGCGCUUCCCCGAGCUUGGCCCGGAGGUGCACCAGCGGCUGGAGUACGUGCCCUCCAGCGCCUCGCGCGAGGUGCGCCACGGCUCGGACCCUGCCUUCAAGCCUGGUCCUGGUGGCCUGGAACCCGGCGGGGCCCUGCGCCCCAACCUGGGCCAGCGUUUCCCAUGCCAGGCGGUGGCGAGGCAAGGCCCAGACGCUGCUCCAGAGGCAGAGCCCGAGCGCAGGCCCGGGCCAGAGGGGCGAGCGGGGCUGCGGCACUGGCGCCUCGCCUCUUACCUCAGCGGGUGCCACGAGGAUGUGGGUGAGGAGGGCCUGCCCACACCCAUGGACGCUGACGUCUACGAAGAUGACGUGCUGGCUCCUGGGGGCCGGGCGGCCUUCCGUGUCCCUGCUACCUUGCCAGUCAAGGGCCUGUUGCCAGGCCCGGGAAGCGGUGGCGGCGACAGCUCGGAGCGCGAGGGCUCGGAGGAGGCAGGCCUGGUCAGGCAGGACUCGUUCCGCUCACGCCUAAACCCACUCAUCCAGCGCAGCUCCAGGCUACGCUCCUCACUUAUCUUCGCGCAGGCUGAAGGCUCUGGAGGUGCCACAACUGCCACCACUGAGAAGGUGCAGUUGCUGCACAAGGAACAAACGGUCAACGAGACGUUGGGUCCCAGUGGAGAGGCCAUGCGCUCCACCGCCUCUGCUAAAGUGGCCGAGCUGCUGGAGAAAUACAAGGGUCCAGCCCGUGACCCAAGCGCGGGGGGAGGUGCGGUCACUGUCUCCAGCCACAGCAAGGCUGUCGUGUCCCAAGCUUGGCGGGAAGAGGUGACCGCACCCGGCGCAGCAGGGGGCGAGCACCGCAGCCUGGAGAGCUGCUUGCUUGACUUGCGUGAUUCCUUUGCCCAAAGGCUACACCAGGAGGCGGAGCGGCAGCCGGGAGCCGCCUCCCUCACGGCUGCUCAACUUCUUGACACGCUGGGCCGCAGUGGCACUGACCGCCUGCCCUCCCGCUUCCUCUCUGCCCAGGGCCGCUCCACCUCCCCGCAGGGGCGGGACAGCCCCCCGCCAGAAGUGCCUGCUGCACACCAGGUGCCCCUUUCUGAGCCCAAAGGGAGCCCCACCUCAGCCUACCCAGAGCGGAAGGGGAGCCCCACGCCAGGGUUAUCCAAUCGGAGAGGCAGCCCAACUACAGGAUUUAUUGAACAGAAGGGCAGCCCCACCUCGACCUACCCAGAACGCAGAGGUAGCCCGGUACCCCCUGUGCCUGAGCGCAGGGGCAGCCCGGUACCCCCUGUGCCUGAGCGCAGGGGCAGUCUCACCCUCGCCUCAUCCAGUGAGUCUCCUAAGGUGGGGCCCACAGAGGAGGUGGCUGGAGGCCCCAUGGAAGUCCUGCGCAAAGGCUCCCUCCGCCUCAGGCAGCUGCUGAGCCCCAAGAAUGAGCGUCGCGGGGAGGAUGAGGGCAACUUCCCAGUGCCACAGGAGAAUGGGCAGCCAGAGAGUCCCCGGCGACCAUCUUUGGGCCGAGGUGAUAGUACAGAGGCUACUGCAGGGGAUGAGCGGGGCCCAAGGGCACGGCUAUCCUCUGCCACGGCCAAUGCCUUAUACAGCAGCAACCUACGAGAUGACACUAAGGCCAUCCUGGAGCAGAUCAGCGCCCAUGGUCAGAAGCAUCGUGGGGUUCCAGGCCCAGGCCCAGCCCACAGCAGCCCCGAGCUGGGCCACUCACCAGCUCCUGGAGGCCUGGCCCCAGACAUGUCCGACAAGGACAAAUGUUCAGCCAUCUUCCGGUCAGACAGUCUGGGUACGCAAGGCCGGCUGAGCCGCACCCUACCUGCCAGCGCAGAGGACCGCGACCGCCUACUGCGCCGCAUGGAAAGCAUGCGCAAGGAGAAGCGCGUCUACAGCCGCUUUGAGGUCUUCUGUAAAAAGGAAGAGGCUGGUGGUUCUGGGGCAGGGGAUGGCCUGGCGGAGGAGGAUGCCAGGGACAGCAAGGUGGGCAAGUUCGUGCCCAAGAUCCUGGGUACACUCAAGGGCAAGAAGUGAGUGUCCUGGUCCACCAGCCCAGGCCAAGGUGCUUCCUCACUGCCACCCUGCAUCUGCUGGGCAGGGAGCUCCGUGUCCCCGUGUUUGAGUGGCAGCCACCAUCCCUCAUUCCAGAGCAGCCAAGGGGCCGGACUGGACCCACCAGAGCUCAGCUUCAGUGGGUUUCCCUGGCAGCUGCCCUGCCCUGGCCCUGGCCUGUCCUCCCAGGGUUUCAGUCCGCGGCCUGGUACCUUUUCUCACCAACCCUUGCUCCUCUGCCCCCUUCUCUCCUGCUGCUUCCAUUUCCCUGGGCUCAGAUCCCCUCUGGACCUUCACUCACCUCAGGGACCCUUCUCUCUGUGCCUCAGUCCUGCUUGCAGGGACCCAACACUUGUGCCUCAGUCUCCCCAGCUCUAGGGGUCUUUUGUCUCCUCAGGGAUUCCGUUUUCAGGGCUCUCUUCUCAGACCUGUGGUUCUGCUGCCAGCCGCUCCACCCUGCCUCCUCGCCCCUGUCCUUCACUGGCUCCCUCUCUCCUCCUGGUGCCGGUCCUCUUGUGGGGAAGGAAGGAAGAGUGUGGUUGGACCCAAAGGAAGCUUUUCUUGGGAGGCACAGGGCAGGCCUCUGAGAAGGAGGGAUGAAGGGGACCCCAGAGGGGCUGCCCUGCUGCCCAGACUGCAGCUGCCUCAGCCAAGUCUGCCCCUCGCACAGUCAAGUCCUGGGUGGCCAGGGGGAGACACCAGGAGGCGAGUCCUGGGCUCUGCAGCAUAAUAAAAUGGAGUCUGGACUGACACCCUGAAGCCAAGUCUGAUUAAGUGGCUCCCAGACAAGUGCCACACCCCAGAAGGGUGGGAUGUGGCACACUUGUCCCUGAGCUCUGGCCACCUUCCCCAGGGCAGAGGUCCUGGGAAUCCCUGCAGGUGGGGUGACCCUUGCCCUGCAGGUGCCCAGAAGACCCUAGCUCCACCUUGCCCUUGAUCCUUUCCUGUUUCAUCACCAACAUGCAAAAUCUGUCAAAGACA
rnacentral:lncRNA from 1 species